rnacentral:lncRNA from 1 species
UUCAAACUAAUAAGUAAUCACAUGCAUGUUUCGACUUUGAAUACAAGUGAUAUUUUUUAAGGCAGCAAAGUCACUCAACGUAUGAAAAUAACCUACCAUAGUCAUUUCAAACUUUUUUGGGACAAUAAAGUCACUAACUAUUAUUCCAAAGACCAGAUUUUUUGCCUUUUGUUUUCAUCAUUAUCUUGUGGGUAUAAGAAUUUGCAGGAUUAAUGAGUUCUUGGGUACAUGACUUGGACAUUACUGCUUAACAAUUUGUCUAAAAACCUAUCAACUUUUCCUUCGACUUCAUGUGGGGAUUUACAUACGACCACUCACUCCAUUUCAAUUCAUUUGUCGCAUAAUGAUUUGACACAGAGUUUAAGAAAGUAAAGAAGACUUUUGGAUCAUAUGGUCCUACAUUAAAGGUAUGUAUCUCUAAUCAAUUUUACUUAUUUUUUGUCAUUUAUCUUUUGUGUAGGUUCUACUGUUUGCCAUUUUCUAAAAUACAGAAUUGUUAAUUAAACUGUUUUCUGUCAAUCUAGUGAUACUUUCUGCAAGUACACAGAUGUCUUUUACAACCCUGAAAUCCCUGAGGGCCGGUUAGCACAUGGUUUGAAGCUUGGUUGAUUAUAUGCUCACCCUUCUCUACUAAAAGGCAUUUGUACUGGGUUCCAACUCGUGACAUAUGUGUAAAUCACACAUCACGCAGCUCCUACCUCUGAACCAAAGGCCUGCAAGUAUCUGAAAGUUUUCUAUUUUCAUAGUAAUUAACUAGGUAUACAGGUGCUCAGGAAAUUAAAAGACCCGAAGAAGAUUCGAGAGUGCUGAACUCAGAUAGUGCUUGUUGCUGCAUAGAAUGAGCUUUUAGUUAAAGUUGAUUUUUAUUUGCAUCUAGGAGAAAAUAUCAAAUGAAGAGUACAACAUUUGAGGAUUAAGUGAUACACAUUUUUUGUAAGAAACAAUACUUUUGAAUAAUUUGGGAUAUGCUAAAAUGGAUUAACUUUACAAGAGGUAAGUGAGCAAUAAAAACAAUGCAGACCAAAGAGUUUAGCAGAAUAACAAUUUAGAAGAAGCUUACAUGGAAAGCUUGGUCCGACAAGCAGAAUAGAGAAACGUUCAACCUAAUGAACGGAUGCCCCUCAAACUGGUCCUUUGCAACGGAUACUGCUAUGAACGCAUCCCUGUUAGUAGUACAACAUUCUCAUGAGAAGUUGUUCUUGAGCAUACAAUUUGCAUUUUGUACCGCAGAAACUUCCUACCUGAAUCCAUAGAAACAAUCUAAACGUAGCAUCAUCAGUGAGAAUUAUUUGAUACCUUUCAUUGGCUUCACCAUAGCACCUGAAUAGAUAUGACAAAUACUGAAAUUCUUCUUGUUUCGUACAGGUUGGGAAUGGGGAGGUCAGACAUUAAUCAUCAUCAUAUACAUAUAUGUUAAGUGGCAUCUGAGACCAAGAAUAGAAAUAUGUGUCUCAAACUUAUUCACUUCUAUCUUUGAAUUUAGAAUCAAAAUACUCCUUGUCUUUUAACAUGAAGCACUAACAGUCCUCCGUGUUUCAAGAAUUGGUACACUUUUAAUACUUUCUCAAACAACUAUCUAAUUUUUAACGGACUUACAAGCUAUCCACAGUGAGAAAAUUUUCCCUUCAAAUCUCAGUCUUUGUUUCCCCUGUCCCUCCACUUCCAUAUCUAACCAGGAUUCUUAUUUGUCUCUUAUUCAAAUCAAACCCAAUAAUCAAAAUUCUAUUUAGAAUUUCACUUAAAACUUAAUCGAUUAUCGAAAUCAAUUAUUUUGUUAAGACCCAAUAAUGGCAGAGAAUCA